AACGCGAAGAACCUUACCUAGGUUUGACAUCCCUGGACCGUCCUAGAAAUAGGAUUUCUGUAGCAAUACAGCCAGGUGACAGGUGCUGCAUGGCUGUCGUCAGCUCGUGUGGUGACAUGUUGGGUUAAGUCCCGCAACGAGCGCAACCCCUGUUCUUAGUUGCCAGCAUUCAGUUGGGCACUCUAAGGAGACUGCCGUGGUGAACACGGAGGAAGGUGGGGAUGACGUCAAGUCCUCAUGGCCUUUAUAUCUAGGGCGACACACGUGAUACAAUGGUCGGUACAAAGGGUCGCAAAACGGCAACGUCAAGCUAAUCCCAAAAAACCGAUCUCAGUUCGGAUUGGAGUCUGCAACUCGACUCCAUGAAGUUGGAAUCGCUAGUAAUCGCGGAUCAGCACGCCGCGGUGAAUACGUUCCCGGGCCUUGUACACACCGAGACGUA
rnacentral:rRNA from 1 species